UGAUCACUGCUCUGAUGGCUCUAUUGGGUAGAUAGAUGAGAAACACAAAAGCCUGAAAUUAUUUUCAUUACACAGAGCCUGGAGCAAGAUAAACCUCUGCCAGAGCCUGAGUGGGGUACAGAAAUACAGCGUUGCUUAGGAACUGGAUUCUUCCUGGUUUCCUUUAUUUGUUUUUCCUUGAUAGCGCAAAAACUGAUGAGGUCCUUAAUCCUACCUGAUCACAGUAAAAGAAGUGUGGUGGUGUUGUGAGCUUGGCCCAAAGAAUCAAGAGGGGAACAGGCUUCUCUUUUUCAAGACCUCUUGGAAAAAGGUGGUACUGCCUCUUUACAGGCAGACAAUGCCCUUCCAAGGAGUGUUCCCAGCAGGGGCUAUCAAAGCCAGGGGAGACCUAACAGAUUUUUAACUGUGGCCAGCUAUUGAUUCUCCCAUUCUGGGCCUUGUUGCACAGUGCAGCUCAUUCCACUGGAAAUGAAUCCUACUGAAGCUGUGCCAGUUGGAAAGUACCAAACAUGAGAAAUAUUUGGUGUGAUCAAGUACCAUAUUUGACAGAGAAGUUACCUUGGCUUCAGCAAUUGAU